rnacentral:rRNA from 1 species
UAAUACGGAGGGUGCAAACGUUACCCGGAAUUACUGGGCGUAAAGGGCGUGUAGGUGGCUUUGUAAGUGAGUGAUGAAAUCCCGUGGCUCAACCACGGACCCGUUGCUCAUACUGCAAAGCUCGAGGGAAGCAGGGGUAUGUAGAACUUUCGGUGUAGGGGUGAAAUCCGUAGAUAUCGAAAGGAAUACCAAUGGCGAAGGCAGCAUACUGGGCUUCUUCUGACACUGAGGCGCGAAAGCGUGGGGAGCGAACGGG